AUUAUCAUAGGGGGGUGCCUUAAUAGUACGGGCUGAGAUCAUACCCAUAACCUGAUCCAGGUAAUGCUGGCGUAGGGAGGAGAAGGAAAGUCCCCUU
rnacentral:ncRNA from 1 species